rnacentral:lncRNA from 1 species
CUGAAUACUCGAAGACAGCGCUGAUUUGUGCGUGUUCGAGAGUAGCUAAAGUUAACGUAAAACAAAACUCGAAGAACAAAGGAGGCGCAGCUCCUGGAUAAAUAGAGAAGGGGGCGCAGCCCCUAGGGGCGGCCAACCCUAGGUCGUCCACUAUGGGCCGCAGUUGGGCUGGUCGUCUAUUCUUCUGGGCCCUCGUACUUCAGUAGCAUGACGAAGUUAAGAUCUCUGGCACGGGCCUGAGUGAUUGGCCCAGCUAAUGAAGGAAGUGGCACUUGAUGUGGAGGUGCUGGUGGUGUAGUCGUACUCAUAGUGAUGUCCUCAUCAUCCUCCCAUUCUUGAAGUGAAGUCGUCCUCGACGGCAACUCCUCAUCCUCGGCCAUAUAUGGUUUCAAAUCUGCAACAUUAAAACAAGUGGAAACACCAAAUUCCGCAGGCAGGUCAAGGAUAUAAGCAUUAUCAUUCAUCUUUGUUAGCACCUUAAAAGGACCAGCAGCACGACGCAUUAAUUUAGAACGGCGCAAAGUAGGAAACCGAUCCUUUCUCAAGUGCAACCAAACCAUAUAACCUGGCUCAAAAGCAACAAGUUUUCUUCCUUUACUACCAGCAACCUGAUUUUUUGCAUUAGUAGCAGCAAUGUUCUGUUUUGUUUGUUCAUGUAUGGUAAUCAUUUGUUCAACAUGUGCAGCAGCAUCUACAUGUGGGGCGUUCGUAGCAUUAAGUGAAAUCAAAUCAAUAGGUGCCCUAGGGAUGUAACCAUAAACAAACUGGAAAGGGCACAUCUUUGUAGAAGAAUGUGUGGCAUGAUUGUAAGAAAAUUCAACAUGAGGCAAACAAUCAUCCCAACGUCUCAAAUUCUUGUCUAAAACAGCCCUAAGCAUGGUAGAUGAAGUUCUAUUUACUACCUCAGUUUGUCCAUCAGUCUGAGGAUGACAAGUAGUGCUAAACAGCAAUUUAGUUCCCAUUUUAUUCCAAAGAGAUCUCCAAAAAUGGCUUAGAAACUUAGCAUCGCGAUCAGAGACUAUUGUUUUUGGAAUACCAAGUUAACGAAUAAUUUCUCUAAAGAACAAUUCAGCAACAAUGCUAGCAUCAUCAGUUUUAUGACAAGGUAUAAAGUGAGCCAUUUUAAAGAAUCUAUCAACAACCUAAAAAAUACUGUCCCUCCCCUUCUUAGUUCUAGGCAAGCCCAAAACAAAGUCCAUAGAAAUAUGAAGCCAAGGAGAAGAAGGGAUAGGCAAAGGCAUAUACAAACCAUGGUUGCCCAAACGUGACUUAGUUUUCUGGCAAGUAGUGCAACGUGCAACAAGACGCUUAACAUCACGGCGCAUCCGAGGCCAAAAGAAGUGUGCGGCCAGCACCUCAUGUGUCCUGUAAGCGCCAAAGUGCCCCAUGAGACCGCCUCCAUGAGCUUCCUGCAGCAACAAAAGACAAACCGAGCUUGCUGGAAUACACAACUUGUUAGCGCGAAACAAAAAUCCAUCCUGUAUGUGAAAUUUUCCCUAGGGUUUGCCAUCCUUACAAUGUAUAAAGAUAUCUUUAAAAUCAGCAUCAUCCACAUAUUGAUCUUUCACAGUUUGCAAGCCAAAGAUUCUAAAUUCUAACUAUGAAAGCAUGGUAUAUCUACGGGACAACGCAUCAGCAAUGAUGUUUUCCUUCCCGUUCUUGUGUUUAAUGAUGUAAGGAAAGGACUCGAUGAAUUCUACCCAACUAGCAUGACGACGGUUCAGAUUUGUUUGGGUACGAAUAUGUUUUAAAGCCUCAUGAUCAGAAUGAAUUAUAAACUCACGAGGCCAAAGGUAGUGCUGCCAAGUUUGCAAAGUGCGAACUAAAACAUAAAGUUCCUUAUCAUAAGUAGAAUAUCUCAAGCUAGCACCUCUUAAUUUUUCACUCAGCUGAGGAUCUCUAACCACAUGACAUAUGUUUCUCGUAAACCUUGCAUGUCUACCAUUCCCACGGAUCCUCCACUGCAUGAACAGGUCCGCGCCACCCGAGAGCACACCACCCCUUUUAGGCGGUCCUUUGCCAGGAGGGUACGUGCCACUCUCGCCAUCUCUCCACUCCCAGUGCGCGAUUGUCUUUUCAUGUAUGGAAUAGCCGGGUUCAAGCUUACCGUUGCCCAUUUCCAGGGCAUGUGGCUAGUUAAGAUAGUCCUUGAUCAACAGGCCUACAUACGCAUCCAAUCCUUAACUAACCUGGGUAGAACAUCACCUGUUCCUAGCCCAAGUCCCGAUUUAAGUACUUCCAUCCUUAGGAUUGUUUAUGUUCCUAGGAUGAAAAGAGCAUCAAAGGGAACUUUGCAGUAAGAUCCCACCACACUCUCAAUGAAAAUAUUCUUGCAGAUAGAAGCCAUCUUUCCUCAGGAUAACCCCUGAGCUAGGCCUUAAUGCAAAAGACAACCUCUAUCCACAAGAUCUGAGCAGGGCUAAGAAUUUUUGUAAAUCAGAUUUUGAUACUUCACCAGAAGUAUCUAUAAAGGUAUGGAUAUCAAGGAAGGCAAUGCAUCAAAGGGUUCCAAGCAACUCCUAUAAACCUAAUGCACAUUUCACUAGACUUAAAGUGUGCAAUUUUUUUUUAAAAACACAAGGAAGGGGUUGCAUGCACCGGGGCUUGCAUGUGUAACACUAGGUUAGUGUUUGUUAGACGAUGUCCACUUGACGAUCAUCUUUGUCCUAGCACUUGAUCAGGCAGGUUCGUUCAUCAGCAUCACCAUGUGGAGUAGCCCGCGCUUGGAGUCGACUUGAGUCAUCUUCCGCAUCACGUGAUUAAUUAUCGCACCUGAAUGAAAUGCAUUAUGCAUAUGAAUGCAUAUAGACAGGAAUAUCAAAAACCCUAAAUAGUGCUACGCGAUGGCGAAUUUAAACACCUAGCGGCGAGGCGUUGUACAAUUUUAUACGGAAUCACUAGUUAUUAAUAUAUGAUUAAGCAAACUAAUUACGCUUCUCGUACCUAACGCAAACAUCAUGAACAACAAACUAUACAAAUUUAAUACAAUUAGUCUAAACACAACUUAUCAGCUAAUUGACUUAAAAAUUUAGCUUUACGAUUCUGGGACACCUAAUGUUUAUAAAAUUAUAGAAGAAACUUUAUUAACCUUCUAAACUAUUUUCCAGAUUAAUUUAUAUAACACAUUAGUUGGUUACGACAUUUAUCGAUCAUAAACAUAGACUGAUUAUACUAAAUACUAGAGCAUGACAUCGACUUCUUUAAACAAACAUCAUUCAUCACAGGCAAUACUGACCACGCCUACCAGUAAAACAUUCAAAACACGAAACCUAUCAUUCGUCUUACUAAUACACCAGGUCGCAAAUAUAGAAACGAUUCAAUCCUACUUCACUUAGGUUUACCCACAUAUUCAUCGCAUAAUAGACAUCUAAACCUAACCUUCACAUGACGACUAAUCUAGGACCGUGAUCACAAGCACUUCACAAACAUCUAAUACACCACAACACGCAUGCUACAGACAGGAUCAUUAUCGACCUGCAUAUAUAACCACUCCGGGCAUAGGACCAAUAACAGUGAAUUGGCUUACCACACUAAACUGAACUCGAUGACCGCGAGAACGACGAUGGUCCUGAUUCAGGCGUUUUGUCGAGCACCAAGCAAGCGUUGCACGAGCAAGAUGACGUCGAGGCGUGGAUCAAAGACGGACAACCGGUCCGAAAGAGCGAAACUCGACGUGGAAGCUCGACACGUCGUGGCGAGCAGAGAACUUCGCGCACAACAACGCGACAGAGGAGAACUUCGCGGCAGCACGCGCAGGAACAACGGAACGCGCGCAUAGGGAAAACAACGAGAUGGGAGAGCUGCACGUGACCUUGGCGCAAAGGUACAAGCUCGGCGAGGAAGUAGAGCGCGCACAAGGGAGCAGGCCGGGCGUGGCAGUAGGCGCACAAGCGAGCUUGAGGAAGCGAGGGUGAGCCAGAGACCUACACGGCACGCGGCCAUGGAAGAGGCCUCGGCAACCCGGAGGAAUAGAGGACGUCGGUGAGGAAGAUCCGCGAGCAGAGCACGGCGCGCAACACAGGGAGAAUCGGAGCAGUAGGGCGAGCAGAGCCGGGCUACGAGCUGAGCGAGCGCAUGGUCAUGGAGACGAGGUAGGAGCUCGGCUGGGCACGCGCUGGGCUAGAUCCGCGCACCAAUGAGCAGGGCGGCCAUGGAAGAUGGUGAGGAAGUGCCGGCCAGCAGAGGGAGAUGAGGGAGAGAGAAGCGGGGAGGGCGCCGAGGGAGUUCCAGCAGGGAGAUGGACACCAUUGCAGCAGCCGGUGGAGGACCCCGAGCCCUGGCCGUGCGCGUAGGAGAUGUAGGGCGCGGUCGGGGAAGAAGCCGGGGAGCUGGCACAGCCAUGGUGAACUGGAACAGGGUGGUGAGCAACGGCGUCCGAUACGGUCAACAGGGACGACGGCGGACGGGGCCAUGGCAGGAAGAAUGAAAUGGAGGGAAGGCGCCGGGGGAUACGAGAGAAGCUGAGCUCGCAUACAGGAAUAAGAAGAAGCCAGCGAUGAAAAUAUCAACAGAGCAGCGGCGCAAGAAGAUAAGAACGACGGCUGUGAUCUUCACCGGCGGUGAGCGGCUGGAAGAUGAAGGCUGGCACGAGAUGGAGAAAAAUCAGAGCGUGCCUGUGGGAGAAGAGGAUAAUAAGCGUGCGUCAGGAGAAGAUAAGGAGGAAACGUCACGCGCGGGUGGAAAAAGAUCUGUGGGAGAGCGGUGGGAUUAGAUAGGAUCCUAGGAUAUUUUCUUUUGAUUUUCUUUUCUUCUUUUUUGUUUCGAAAAUCGCAGAUACUUUGAAAUCGGAUAAAAAUUCAUCCGUUAUCUAAACACAGUUGAGUUGAUUAUCCUACAGUGUGGGAUGGAGGAUAAAUUGGAUCAUAGACUUGCGCAAGAUUUCGCGCGAUUCGAAUUAUUUUACCCCGCACAUUUUAGGCGUUGAGCUCAAAUUAACUUGUUCGGGAUAAAAUCGUCCAAGUGGUUCGGGCUUCCGAAUUCGUAUUCGCGCGGCGAUGAAUUUUAAUUAAUCAUCAGACACACCGAUUUUCGGGACAACUAUGUUCCGAACAACACGGAAAUUUCAGAAGAGCACGGACAGAUAAAAAUAAAAACGACGUCGCACUCGCGACAAACGAAACAGAUGCGAUAUAAAAAUCGUGAUAGUCGAAGAUGAUAAAAAUUUAAUGUCCGUUUAUCCACUGAUAUUACGUGCUUAAAUCCAUACUCGUUGUCGAGCAGAAUAUAAACACCUGGGGUGUUACAGCCCUCCCCCUUAAAAGAAUCUCGUCCCGAGAUUCGGAGCGAAAGACUUCUAAGGGUAGAGAAGUAUGUAACCCAUGUUCAUAUCAGCGAUAACCAUAGGCCAAUCCUGAGCGAAGGCGAGUGUCUCAGGAUGUGGUUUCUCCAGUGGACAUAACAUGUAUCGCCUUACUCUACUUUAGAAAUGUCCACCAAUAGAGACGAUGUCUGCCAGAAGAACACAUAAGGUUCCAUGUGUGCAGUUUGCUUUUUCUGAUGACACUGUACUAUCUGAGUCUGCUGGGCGAGCGGUGGAUAUGCGACUUUACCCAAACAGAACCAGAUGCAACCUCUUAGGUAAAACACACAGAAAGAGGUUCACCAACAAGGGGUCACGGUAAGUUCAUAGCACAUGAGACGGGUGUGAAUGUCGUAUAACAUCACAGUUGAUCCGUGGCUAGCCAGAAAAUCCAAGUCCAUGAAAAUGAUAAAGACUUGAAAAAUCACCAGCGGUGAGAUCUGUAAAUGCGGACUUUACGACCAGUCCAUUUCAUCAAAUACUUAGCACGACUCGACUUGAUCACACAUGCUGGAAAAGCACACGUGACAAUCGAGGCAUGACUAGAGUGAUGACUAGGUUGUUAUUGGCCGACUUAAUCUCGAUUCUUAUAAACACUUCCUUUAGGUGGGUUGAACCAAAGUGAGUUGAGAUAACUCGACAAAAUGAUCUCUAGACUCGACCUUUGUUCACAAAGCAAUUACAAGUUAGUAGAACCAACUUGUUGAACUACUUUUGACAUUGAGCAAGUCUCCUCAGUACCAUCGGUAAGCCAACGGUCGAGAGCUCACUCAUAUUAACAAGAGAUUAUGUAUUUGGGUAAAAAUCUAUUUGGUCAAGUUGUUCAUCCGUUUCUUCAUGUGAGAUGAACGGACAGGGUUCGGAAAUACAUGGAUUAAAUAGGGGAGCAAAUGAACAACUCCUGCAUCUCAGCAGCAGGGAAAGUCAAUCUCCAUUUUGAGAGCUAAUCAAUUGUUUUCCAACACUAAAAAGCUCCAAGGCUUUACCUUUACACAAAGGAUGUAAAGGGAACUUAUAUGAGUAGUCACUACCAAGAUCAAAAGAAAUAAGACCACACAUGAAAGUGGUAUGCCCUUUUGAUCCAACGGAGAUGACAGAUGUUGCUUGAUCACUUCACAAACAACAUAAAAAUUAUUUGAAGGGAAGGUCCACGGAAGAUAACCAUCAGGGUAGUUCCACAAUGGAUCAUGACUAGAGACCUUGAUACCAGCAUCCGACGAGUAGCACAAUCCUGUGUGCGCAUUCACAGGAGGCUCUCAGUUUCGCUGCGGCACAAUAAGUCCUUAAUCGUGACACCACUACCGAACUGACACCAAUAAUGAAUCUCACGUAGCAAAAAUAGAUUGUGCCAAGAUAACGCAUUGACAUAGUCUCAUAAUGGAUUACAACUACUAACCAUGAUACCGGCGCGUGCCGAGCAGCACAACCGUGUGUGUGCACACAUAGAAGGCCCUCGGUUUCGUCGCGGCAUCAUCAAUUUUAGUCAUAACACCAUUACCAGACGUAACCAAUAAGAAAUCUCACGUGGCACAAAUAUGACAAUAUAGAAAAGAGACUCCACCUGUAAGAAGGGUUACAAGUAGAGAGCCAAAGAGAUUAUGGCCCAAGGAAAUGAACAAGGCAUGGCCAUAACCUAAACUUGACGAAAGGAGUACGAUGGGAGACUGUUAAUUCAGCCCCAAGCAUAUUUCUAUGCCCAUCGCAGAGAUUACAAGUCAAGGAUUAGUAUCUGAUUAGAUACGGAGAGAAAACAAUCAUAAGAUUAAGUUGGUAUGCCUUCGAUAGAUAUGAGGAAACCAAAGGCAUCAAAUUCAAGAAAAUGGCCAGAUAUGUCUUUCCUAAGUUAGGUUGAUAAGGUAACAUGGCGAUCCUUAAGAACAGACAAACUGGAUAAGGUACAUCAGCCUGCACCAACUGAAUAAGGGCAUGAUCUAAGAUGGAAAUAUGACUCAAGAUUCUUGUUUUAAGUCUGGGUACACUUUAUGUUCAACAAAGAAAUUAUCUAGGCAUUUAUUUUUUUUAUGUGUUUGGUCAUGGAGUGAUAACAGAAAAAUCAACUUUGGGUCAUGGUUAACCAACUAAGAACAUGGCCUAAUUUUCGGUUUAAGCAAUCAAACUACCAACCUUCUAUCAGCACAUCAUAGAAAAGCAAACACAUAUAUAACACCUAAAUAGGUUACCUAAAGAAUGGAGGACAACUGAUAGAGCUGGAGUGCCCGAUCUUUCGGUGAGUGGAGAUAAUUCCGAUUUGGUGGAAGUAGACCCUCACGAUCCGACUACGACGAGCGAUCCCGAAGCGCCAAUGCAAUCGCUAAACCAACUUCCAAUGGUUACCAACCUUGCUGAUGCGAGAUCGGCCUGAUCACGAAGAUCGUUUCCUGUGCGCAAUCGAAGAACGAACAAGAAAAAGAUGCGAGCAAUCUUAAUAUCACUCGAGGUAAAGUUCUGAAUCACAGAGGACAACACGUAUUUGUGCGUGUUCUGGGGUAGCUAAAGCUAGAUGUAGAACAAAACUCCAAAAACAAAGGAGGCACAGCUCCUAUAUAAAUAGAGAGAGGGGGCGCAGCCCCUAGGGGCGGCCAACCCUAGGUCGUCCACUAUGGGCCGCAGUUGGGCUGGUCGUCUAUUCUUCUGGGCCCUCAUUCUUCAGUAGCAUGACGAAGUUAAG